ACACGACUACAUUAGAUACCCGUGUAGUCCAGGGUGUAAACGCUGCGGGCUUGGUGUUGGGGGUCCUUUGAGGGCGCCCAGUGCCGGAGAGAAGUUGUUAAGCCUGCUGCUUGGGGAGUACGUCCGCAAGGAUGAAACUUAAAGGAAUUGGCGGGGGAGCACCGCAACGGGAGGAGCGUGCGGUUCAAUUGGGUUCAACGCCGGACAACUCACCAGGAGCGACGGUUACAUGAAGGCCAGGCUGAUGACCUUGCCUGAUUUUCCG
rnacentral:rRNA from 1 species